UUUCCUACGGGGGGCAGCAGUGAGGAAUAUUGGUCAAUGGCCGGGAGGCUGAACCAGCCAAGUCGCGUGAGGGAAGACGGCCCUACGGGUUGUAAACCUCUUUUGUCAGGGAGCAAGGUGCAGGUCGGGACCUGCUGUGAGAGUACCCGAAGAAAAAGCAUCGGCUAACUCCGUGCCAGCAGCCGCGGUAAUACGGAGGAUGCGAGCGUUAUCCGGAUUUAUUGGGUUUAAAGGGUGCGUAGGCGGUCCGUUAAGUCAGCGGUAAAAUUGCGGGG
rnacentral:rRNA from 1 species